CAUAAAAGGCAGCGGGCAAGAGGAACUCCUCAGUCUGGCUGGUGGCGGCGCGACGCUGGGUACAUACACACUCACACACUGGUUCCAUUUUCGCUGUUUGAGCUAAGAAUACUGUCAACUGUAAACAGUGAAGGAGAUGGCUCGCUAUCUGAACUACUUGGCGUGGCCCUGGCUGUUGGCUCUCUGCUUCUCGCUCACAGUUGCACAAUAUGGGAACUAUGGAGGUGGUGGUGGUGGAGGCGAUAGACAGAUUGGACGCCCGCCUCAUAUUGACAAUGAACAAGGUUACAUUGGUGGUGAUAAUGCUCCUAGACCAGGCUCGGUAAUAUUAACAACUCACAU
rnacentral:lncRNA from 1 species